rnacentral:misc_RNA from 1 species
UUCUAAUAGGUAUAUGGCAAUCGAGCUCUUGAAGUAUGCACUGGUUACACGGUCCAUUUGUGAAGUAUGAAAUUUGUAAAAUUUAAAAUGAGAGUUGACUCAUCAUGUGUGAGUGAAAGAUAUUAGAAAUAUGAUCCGGGUCACCCAAGUAAGUCAAUCCGAAUCCAUUAGACUUGAAUCCAAAAUCAAGAACAAUCAAAUGAAAAGUUAUGUACGGUGGCAAAAAUCCGAAGUCAUGUAUAUUGGUUAAAGAUUACAAAAUCCAAAAGUCAUGUAUAAAUGUCAAAAG